rnacentral:rRNA from 1 species
GAGGAAUUUUCUACAAUGAGCGAAAGCUUGAUAGAGCAAUACCGCGUGAGGGAUGACGGCCUUCGGGUUGUAAACCUCUUUUUUCAAGGAGGAAGUUCUGACGUGUACUUGAAGAAUAAGCAUCGGCUAACUCCGUGCCAGCAGCCGCGGUAAGACGGAGGAUGCAAGUGUUAUCCGGAAUUAUUGGGCGUAAAGAGUCUGUAGGUGGCUUUGCAAGUCUAAUGUUAAAUAUUAAAGCUCAACUUUAAGCCUGCGUUGGAAACUGCAAAGCUGGAGUAGAGUCGAAGUAGAAGGAAUUUCCAGUGAAGCGGUGAAAUGCGUAGAUAUUGGAAGGAACACCGAUGGCGAAA